rnacentral:rRNA from 1 species
AUUGAACGCUGGCGGCAUGCUUUACACAUGCAAGUCGAACGGUAACAGGCCGCAAGGUGCUGACGAGUGGCGAACGGGUGAGCAAUGCAUCGGAACGUGCCCAGUCGUGGGGGAUAACGCCGCGAAAGCUGCGCUAAUACCGCAUACGAUCUAUGGAUGAAAGCGGGGGACCGUAAGGCCUCGCGCGAUUGGAGCGGCCGAUGUCAGAUUAGGUAGUUGGUGGGGUAAAGGCCUACCAAGCCGACGAUCUGUAGCUGGUCUGAGAGGACGACCAGCCACACUGGGACUGAGACACGGCCCAGACUCCUACGGGAGGCAGCAGUGGGGAAUUUUGGACAAUGGGCGCAAGCCUGAUCCAGCAAUGCCGCGUGCAGGAAGAAGGCCUUCGGGUUGUAAACUGCUUUUGUACGGAACGAAACGGUCUGGGUUAAUACCCUGGGCUAAUGACGGUACCGUAAGAAUAAGCACCGGCUAACUACGUGCCAGCAGCCGCGGUAAGAC